AACCAUCAUUCUCAACUGCUACUCAGGAUUCUUCUGCUGAUGAUGAUUUCUCAACAGGGUAUCUUCAAGAUGCUUUGCUUGAAUUCGGGGAUCGUUCCAAACGUAGGCGCUUGUUGCCAAAUGCUGACAAUCAUCAUGAUCAACAAUAUUCCAAGACUAGUAGUAAUGAUCUUGAAAAGAGCUUGUGGAACUUGAACCCCCACAUACUACAUGAACCAGAAUAUAGAAAGCAUUUUUGGACUUUCAGAUGAGGACAUAAUAAGCACAUUUUAGAGCAGAAUAAUGAGAGAGGAAGCAAAGAUUCUUGUAGAAGAAGAGACAACAACAACAACAACUACUAAUACAAUAUUAUCAGGGGAAAUGGAAUUCAUGGUGAGUCUCUUUCUUUGACUUGUAUCUUAAUACAUGGUCCUAGUCCUCCUAGUGUUUGCACUGGUUCAUGAUAAUAUAUUCGUUGGAAAUAAUUGCAUAAAUACAUAAUUGGAGUGAAUAUUGAUGUGGUAGCUUUGGAUAUCCUUGAUAGCAAAUUUUACAACUUUUUGGAAUUUAAGUUUUAGAGAUUUUUUAGAGAUAU